AGUUAGUUAUUCACUGCAACCAAGUGCAGAUCAUUUCCACUUACUUUACCAUCUAACUGUGAAGAUUAUUAAGGAAAAGGACUUUUUCUUCUUCUCUCUUCUAACAUGUUAAACUAAGAACCUUCCCACUGUGAACUACUGGCAUCUUACUUUUUGACCCCUUGACAAGAAGAACUGGAGUUACCAAAAUGCUGUCAUUUAAGGUGUUGGAGUGGAAACCAGAACAUUACCUAUUAUCAAGAAGGGGUUUCUUCUAAGGCAUUCAGGGCACUCAGAAACAUACAUCUAAGGAAAGAUUCACUUAAAAACCAGCCAAGACACAGUCAUAUAAUUGGGAUCUCCAGGGCCCUGAGUAAAGACAGUCUCCUCCCACUUCAUCGUCGGUAAAUCAAACUCUCCACAGAUGGGGGGAGCCAAGAUUGCUGACUAGACUCAGCCAGGAAGAGCAUCUCCCACUGAGACAUCAGACCAUCAAGAAUACCGGCACACUCCAAGUAGAUCUUUGCAAGAAAGGC
rnacentral:lncRNA from 1 species